rnacentral:rRNA from 1 species
AUUGAACGCUGGCGGCAGGCCUAACACAUGCAAGUCGAGCGAGCGGCGGACGGGUGAGUAAUGUCUGGGAGACUGCCUGUUGGAGGGGGAUAACUAAUGGGGACGGUAGUUAAUACCGCGUACCAUUUGACGUGCCCAGAUGGGAUUAGCUAGUGGGUGGGGUAACGGCUCACCUAGGCGACGAUCCCUAGCUGGUCUGAGAGGAUGACCAGCCACACUGGAACUGAGACACGGUCCAGACUCCUACGGGAGGCAGCAGUGGGGAAUAUUGCACAAUGGGCGCAAGCCUGAUGCAGCCAUGCCGCGUGUGUGAAGAAGGCCUUCGGGUUGUAAAGCACUUUCAGCGGGGAGGCGUUACCCGCAGAAGAAGCACCGGCUAACUCCGUGCCAGCAGCCGCGGUAAUUC